GGAAGGAUGUAAUGGCUAGCAACCAACGAGGUUUCUGGGGGUAUAAAGCAUUUUCGAGCAACCUAAUAAUGUAAGGAAUAACAGUUGCAGCCUUGCAGGGACAGCAUCGCUUGUCUUGCCUUGGCUGCCAUGCCACCGUCGUGUACUCUCAUAGGGUUUGAUCCAAGCAUUCGGGCUGAGGUCUGGCCAUUUCUCCUUGGAGUAUAAGCAUUUCUAACCCUUGGGGUUCUUUGUUAUGCAUUCGAGGAUUGUGAUAGAUUCUUAAUCUUGCUAUUAGAAUUGUCACGGUGACGGUUAUAAAAUUACAAGAGUAGUAGAACUUCCAAUAUUUUUUACCUGAGCAGCAGUCUAGAAGAAAGAGAGAUCACUAGAAGUCAGAAGAGAAAACAGUUUGAGAAGUUGAGGAAACUGUGCAAACAUCUUUAAAAGUGCAUUUAUGAUGAGCGUGUUAAAACAGGAAUUACGCUACAACUAUGGGGACAGUGAGUGUUGUCGAACAUCCAGAUUCAGCUGCUUCGAAAAGAGAGCCCAUAGUUUGAUGACUCGAAAGGCCAGGUCCAUGAUCAAUUUCCUCAUUGCGCCUACUCAGACAACAAUGAAAGUGAAAUCACAAGUGCCGUUGGGAUGCGUAUGUAGCUGCGGAAUCAUCUGAUUCAGAUUCUAUUGAAGAACCUGAGAGCGGGCAGGCUUCUGCUGCUAUUGAAAGUAUUGAUGAAAAUGAUCCUGACAAGUCUUCACCCUCCAAAGCAUGGCAGAGAAUCAUUCGACUUGAUGCUGUGAGGACCAACAGAGAAUAGAAUAGUUACUCUCCAACCGAGGCUGUUGUGUUCGAGGACAGGGCACACAGUCUAGCAGAGGUGGUGGGGUUUAAGGAUUAUGACCACCUAGGCUAGAACCCUGCAGGGUCUUUCAUGCAGCAUGCUCGCCUAGUUAUGAUACUUGAAACCCAUGCACCCUCUGAUGAUGAGAUUGGAUAUUGUCAGGGAACGAAUGGCCUUUUUAUCACCUGUAAUUCCGAUGGUAAUUAGGUUGAUUUGUUUAGGUGUUAAGUUUCUGUAUCUCAUCUACUUUUGUUAAAGACUGUCAGUGAGGCAAGUGACACAUAAUUUUGUUACUGAACACAGUUUGGUUACACAGUUACUUGUGUUCAACUAUCUUAUAUCAAUCAAUCAAAA